rnacentral:rRNA from 1 species
UACGUAGGGGGCAAGCGUUGUCCGGAAUCAUUGGGCGUAAAGCGCGUGUAGGCGGUCCGGUAAGUCCGCUGUGAAAGUCCAGGGCUCAACCCUGGGAUGCCGGUGGAUACUGUCGAGCUAGAGGAUGGUAGAGGGGAGUGGAAUUCCCGGUGUAGUGGUGAAAUGCGUAGAUAUCGGGAGGAACACCAGUGGCGAAGGCGACUACCUGGCCUGUUCUUGACGCUGAGGCGCGAAAGCUAGGGGAGCAAACGGG